rnacentral:tRNA from 1 species
GUCGGGGUGGCUCAGCCUGGUAGAGCGCCUGACUCAUAAUCAGGAGGCCGCGGGUUCAAACCCCGCCCCCGACA